rnacentral:rRNA from 1 species
GCGUGUUGUCGGGUCGGGUCGGGGUCGAUCGAUCGCUCGUUAGUGUUGUGUCGCGUCUCGCGUCGCCGUCUCGGCGUGCGCAUUGUUUGGAUCGUGGUCGUCGAGGCCCCUUUUUCCGGAGCCGCUCUUUUCACUUCCUCCUUUUUUUUUUAUUGCGGAGGGGAGGAGGAGGGUGUGGUGGGGAGGCGGGAGGAAGGAGGGGAGAGGUAAGGAGCGGGAGGGGGUGAAGGAGAGCUAGAGAGAGGGGUCGAGCGGUCGGCGAAGGAGGGGAGGGUUUGGGGAGGGGCGCGGACCUAGGGCGCACGAGGGCGGAUGGGAGCGGCGGAGAGGCCGCCGGAGGAAGCCCGCACGAGGUCGGCUCCCUGCUCAGCCCGGGGUAACCGCGCCCGGCGGCAUCCGUCCGGCAUCCGCAACCCCCGCUCAGCUCCGCCCAGAGGCCCCCCCGCCCCGCGCUACUCCUCCCGGCACCCGACUGCGGCUACUACAGCCUGCGGAGCAGCCUAGAGCCGCCGCCGUCCCGGCCCGGGCACCUCGCGCUGUAGCUCGUCCGGUAGUGACGAGAGUUCUUUCCUCGUAUGGACGACUUCAUACCUGCAUCUCCCUUCGGUUUUAAAACAGGGAAGUCUGAAAGGUUACUACUUAGAUAUAACUAAACCAAGAGUCCCUUUCUCCUCUUCGUUGAUUCUAACUCAGUACACAGGUCUUAUUAAGGACCUGUCGCUUGACGCUAAAAAGUCUCCAUAGGUGCUGGGCUCUUCCUUACGGUCAGUAAAAGAGAGUAUAGGGUACUAUCUAGUAACCUGUAAUAUACGUUUCUAUUUCUACUUCGACUUCACACCAAACGACCCGAUUUUUGUGACUAUAGUGCAUCAGUGGUUUCUUUUACCUCUUGUCUUAGUUCUUCACUAUACGAAAGGAGACCAUGUUGAUCAGGUUCUUGAAUAUGCUCUUCCUCGAGAGGGAACUCAAGAGGAAAGUCAUCGUUACUAUCACAGGUGUUCCUACCGUCGCUUUUAAUAGCUGAGGCCUCAGGUAUACCCUCAGGUGGCUUCCAACCGAACCUGUUCCGGAAGAGACUGUAACAUAGUAUACGUCGGGGUGGAUCUGGGAAGAAGGGUAGCCUAAGAUUACAACCUAGUCAAGUGAGACACAGAAGACCCGUGAGUCUAUUGUGUUUACCCUUGAGCUCCCCGUAGGGUUACCUACGAAAGGCUCAAUCAAAUAGUUCACGACAGUCAAGUAGUUCAGUACCAAGACCAGUACUACUACCACUACGAGAUCCACUACAAAAGUAAACCCCUCUCCCUUGACCCCUCCCUUAAGAACCACCACCGUUAAGUUCCCAACCUUCAAGGAGCCCACGUUUCUACCUAACAGAAAAUGGCUUCGGUAACCUCAAACGACCUUCCGAACUACACGUCUUGUAAAGUACACCUCCUUCCGUACGAUGUGAACAGUGAUUCGUCCCUCUCCAGAUGAGAACCCCACUCCUCAGUCCACCCGCAGAACCAGUACCACACCUGACACUGCACGGGGUCGGUUUUGAAUAGCUACGAGAACGAGUAUACUUGUAACUCGAUCAUCGUACACCACUCAUGGUAUGAACGCGUCAGUGCGAGAGACCUCUAAACAUGUGUACCCCUUUACCGUGGAAAUUAAAACCUGAAAGUCCAGUACCCUUACUUCAGUCAGUAACCUACGGGUUUUCCGAGUUACCUGGUAAUCUUCCGUAUGUACAAAGCAGAUAAAGUACACCGGGAACCGUGUGCCGACAUCAUUGUAGACGUCCAGUCGAUAAGUGUAAACCUCUACCGAGAAAACCUCAAGAUCCAGUACCUCUAGCAGUCUCAUAAAGCCAUGGUUCCCUCCACCUUAGGGACUUUCCCGAUGCCUGACAAGCCCGUCGAACACCACACACCGUGUGUCGGCGGCAACAACUUCAAUACCAACCCUUAAGUUCAAGGUCGUUAACAAGAAGACCGUUCUAUAAAUGUACCCCACUACCACUAUUUCCAGCAAACCCUGUACCACUGUUUCUUUGUUCUGAACAGGGUUGCACACACCGAAGAAACCAACUCGGAUUGAAAACGGUUCAUCGAACACCAGUAACAAAGUGCCACCGUGAUUGUUGGAGUCCCGUACACAUGUGUUACCCUUCAAGACAGAUACCAGUCGAACCUUUAGGUGUUCGUCUACCGUACCAAGGACGCGCACAACUUCCUUUUGAUGUAUUUUUGAAACACCUCCUCUAAAGUACACCGCGAAUAGUACAACGACAAAACUGAAGGUCCUGUCUCCACAUAUGUACCCCAUUUCCACGAUUACCGGCCAAUCCUGUACCACUACGACUACUAUCCUUAAGAGGAUGUGAUCAACUUCGAGACUUUCUAUUCGUUCAGUCCUCACAACAAACACCUUAAUUGAAGUGACGUCGUUAUACGUAAGUGUUCACCCACAGACCUCAACUAGUCAGGUACACAAGACCUACAGCGAACGGCAAAUUGAACUCCUCUUUUGCCGUAUUAACGAUGUUGACACGAGAACAUAAAACAGUAAGGACGUCGUCAUUCUUUAGAGACUUCCGAAGUAAUCGUGGUUUGGGUUUGUUCGGAAUGGCACAGACACUAUCGACGAUGCCAUUUGAAUUACUCCCUGGACUCUGUCUAUCCAUAAGAAGUCGUUUCGCGCCUCAAUAGAAUGUUCCCAAGUUACUAAGAUAGUUACUACUAAACCUCUGUUCUAGUUUACAGGUUAACAGAUCUAACAGUAGUUACCUUAGAAAGUUCUUGUACCUAUCGUCUAUAAGUUUCUUUUUAUUCUUCAAACUUAAAUUAUCGUCGGCACAAAGGGGAUAAGGUUUACCGUCGAGAGUGACCUCGCCCGAGUUGUAAAGAUUUAGAAAACCGAGUAGUUUCUUUAAAAAGAGUCGCAGCCAAGGACCUAGUUCUUAACGAAGAUCCCGUUGAAGUGGACAGAGUUCUUCUUGUUCGGGAGGAGCUAGAUGUUGAGGUUGUGGAUGGAACCCACCAGAUUGUAGAGGAUCUCAACAACAUCUACCACGUUUCGGUUAUUUCCUAUCACAUUCGGUUCUCCAAUAUGUAAACUCUAGAGUCCACCUUUUAGAAUGGGCCUUCAGGGUAGAUGACCUUCAACUUAACCUCGCUUGUUGAUUUGUCAAUUUCCUUCGAUAAAGGUAACGUCCCCUCCUUUGACGCUUCACGUUUCGACGUUUUCUUCAUUAGUUCAGCGAGUGACGUGUUAACUUCCCAUACCGUCUCUUCGAUGGACUUCCUCGUCCUCGUCCUCGUCCUCGUCCCCGUCCCCGUCAAUUCGUGUCAUCUGACGAUGGUGAAAGACCUCACGGACAAUUACUGUAUAGUUACCGUUGACUCUUAAAUCCAUCGGGUUCUUUAAGUCCUCUCGGUAUAAACUUGCCCAGAUUACCCAACUAACAAAGAUUACCUGGUUCAAGUCAAUCUUUAUUCUGAGUGGACCUUCAACCGUUCUUGCCUUGGUCUGUCGGGCUAAGUCUGAGAUUCGGACUCAGACUUACCCAUCUCGUUCUACUUGGUCCCCAGAUGUAGUGGGAAUGACGGGAUGGACCUCCCCGAUCUCUAGAAUCCUCCCAUGCCAAGUCGGCCUUCGCAAAGUCGCUCUGCGUUCGUCUCGUUACCACCGUUCUCUUGGCUCGCUCCCAUAUGCUCGACAUAUUGCAAGCACACCACCUGUUUAGUCAGCGGUCAUAACUAUCACUACAUGGAGUGACUGUAUCUCGUACGCAAACCAACGCUCCAAUUAAUCCCGGACUUUCUUUCUCCCGACGACAAACCUUUUACACCCGAACGUAAAAGAAAAUGUGGGAGAAGGAGGAAAAAGAACAUACCUUUCAUCUAAUGGGUUCCUCUUCACUACAUUUACCAAGCACCGUCGGCCGAUUAGACGGGACAUUUACGUAUUCGUUCGUGUGGUUAAAUCUCAAACAAGAAGGAUUAAAAGGUAACUAGGUGCUUAUAUAUCCAGGUUUUCGGCUCGGUCUCUAUUGCCCGCGUCUUGUAAAACCUACGAUUAACAUCUAACUCUACGCUUCAUCGGUACGUUCUCAAUUCGAAAUAAAAGUAACACGACUCACGGGAACAGUAAAAAAUUAAAGCUGAUAGGACGGACGGACGG